GACGAACGCUGGCGGCGUGCCUAAUACAUGCAAGUCGAACGCACUCUCGUUUAGAUUGAAGGAGCUUGCUCCUGAUUGAUAAACAUUUGAGUGAGUGGCGGACGGGUGAGUAACACGUGGGUAACCUGCCCUAAAGUGGGGGAUAACAUUUGGAAACAGAUGCUAAUACCGCAUAAAACCUAACACCGCAUGGUGUAGGGUUGAAAGAUGGUUUCGGCUAUCACUUUAGGAUGGACCCGCGGUGCAUUAGUUAGCUGGUGAGGUAAAGGCUCACCAAGACCGUGAUGCAUAGCCGACCUGAGAAGGUAAUCGGCCACACUGGGACUGAGACACGGCCCAGACUCCUACGGGAGGCAGCAGUAGGGAGUCUUCCACAAUGGACGAAAGUCUGAUGGAGCAACGCCGCGUGAGUGAAGAAGGUUUUCGGAUCGUAAAACUCUGUGUUGGAGAAGAAUGUAUCUGAUAGUAACUGAUCAGGUAGUGACGGUAUCCAACCAGAAAGCC
rnacentral:rRNA from 1 species